UGAUCCCUACGGGGGGCAGCAGUGGGGAAUAUUGCACAAUGGGGGAAACCCUGAUGCAGCAACGCCGCGUGAGUGAAGAGGUAUUUCGGUAUGUAAAGCUCUAUCAGCAGGGAAGAUAAUGACGGUACCUGACUAAGAAGCCCCGGCUAACUACGUGCCAGCAGCCGCGGUAAUACGUAGGGGGCAAGCGUUAUCCGGAUUUACUGGGUGUAAAGGGGGCGUAGGUGGCAGGGCAAGUCAGAUGUGAAAGCCCGGGGCCCAACCCCGGUACUGCAUUUGAAACUGUACGG
rnacentral:rRNA from 1 species